rnacentral:rRNA from 1 species
UAUUUUUUUUAGAACACAACCUCUACCUGACUUGCAAGUAGUAGGAACCUGAAAGGGGGAGGUUCCGCCGCAAUGGGGAAGCGGGCACAGGUGCUGCAUGGCUGUCCUCGCUCGUGCCGUGAGGUGUGGGUAAACUCCCGCAACGAGCACCCCCCUGUGGUUAGUUGCCCUUAUUCAGUUAGGCACUCUAGCAGACGCCGGGGAUAACGGGAGGAAGGGGGGGAUGACGUCAGUCAGUAUGGUCCUUAUGUCCAGGGCUGCCCACGUGCUACAAUGACCGGCACAAAGGAAGCAAUGCCCGAGGAGAGCUAACCCCCAAAACCGGUCCCAGUUCGGAUUGGAGUCUGCAACCCGACUCCAUGAAACCGGAAUCGCUAGUAACGGCGUAUCAGCUACGACGCCUUGAAUACGUUCCCGGGUCUUGUACACA